rnacentral:tRNA from 1 species
GCAGGGGUGGUUUGGUGGUAGAAUUCUUGACUGCCAUGCCGGAGACCCAGGUUUGAUUCCUGGCCAAUGCG